CGGAGGAUGCAAGCGUUAUCCGGAUUCAUUGGGUUUAAAGGGUGCGUAGGCGGACUUGUAAGUCAGGGGUGAAAUCCGGCAGCUCAACUGUCGAACUGCCUCUGAUACUGCAGGUCUUGAGUCAACAUGAAGCAGGCGGGAUAUGACAUGUAGCGGUGAAAUGCAUAGAUAUGUCAUAGAACACCGAUAGCGAAGGCAGCCUGCUAAAGUUGUACUGACGCUGAUGCACGAAAGCGUGGGUAGCGAACAGGAUUAGAUACCCUGGUAGUCCACGCCGUAAACGAUGAUCACUCGCUGCAUGCGAUAGACAGUAUGUGGCCAAGCGAAAGCGUUAAGUGAUCCACCUGGGGAAUACGAUCGCAAGGUUG
rnacentral:rRNA from 1 species